rnacentral:tRNA from 1 species
GCGCCUGUAGCUCAGCUGGAUAGAGCGCCGGACUUCGAAUCCGUAGGCCGAAGGUUCGACUCCUUCCAGGCGCG